rnacentral:rRNA from 1 species
GACGAAACGCUGGCGGCGUGGAUUAGGCAUGCAAGUCGAACGGUAUCAUCCUUUCGGGGGUGAGAGAGUGGCGAACUGGUGAGUAACACGUAGGUUAUCUACCCUCAAGACGGGGACAACCCAGGGAAACUUGGGCUAAUACCGGAUGUGAGCAACUUUUAGUUGUUUGAAAGGUGGCGUAAGCUGUCGCUUGGGGAUGAGCCUGCGUCCUAUUAGUUAGUUGGUGAGGUAACGGCUCACCUAGGCAAUGAUAGGUAGGCGGCCUUAACGGGUGGUCGCCCACACUGGGAUUGAGAUACGGCCCAGACUCCUACGGGAGGCAGCAGUCGAGAAUAGUCUACAAUGGUCGGAAGACUGAUAGUGCGACGCCGCGUGAACGAUGAAUCCCUUCGGGGUGUAAAGUUCUUUUAUAUGUGAGCAGUGCUUCUUAUAUUAACAGUAUGGGGAAGAGAUAUUAGCAUAUGAAUAAGCAACGGCUAACUCCGUGCCAGCAGCCGCGGUAAACUCGUA